rnacentral:rRNA from 1 species
AUUGAACGCUGGCGGCAGGCCUAACACAUGCAAGUCGAGCGGGGUUUUCGGACCUAGCGGCGGACGGGUGAGUAAUGCGUAGGAAGCUACCCGAUAGAGGGGGAUACCAGUUGGAAACGACUGUUAAUACCGCAUAAUGUCUACGGACCAAAGUGUGGGACCUUCGGGCCACAUGCUAUCGGAUGCGCCUACGUGGGAUUAGCUAGUUGGUGGGGCAAUGGCUCACCAAGGCGACGAUCCCUAGCUGGUUUGAGAGGAUGAUCAGCCACACUGGAACUGAGACACGGUCCAGAAUCCUACGGGAGGCAGAAGUGGGGAAUAUUGGACAAUGGGCGCAAGCCUGAUCCAGCCAUGCCGCGUGUGUGAAGAAGGCCUUCGGGUUGUAAAGCACUUUCAGUAGGGAGGAAGGGUGUUGUGUUAAUAGCACAGCAUUUUGACGUUACCUACAGAAGAAGCACCGGCUAACUCUGUGCCAGCAGCCGCAGUAACAC